CCUACGGGUGGCUGCAGUGGGGAAUUUUGGACAAUGGGGGCAACCCUGAUCCAGCCAUGCCGCGUGCGGGAAGAAGGCCUUCGGGUUGUAAACCGCUUUUAGCCGGGAAGAAAAGGGCGAGGCUAAUACCCUUGUCACUUGACGGUACCGGCGGAAUAAGCACCGGCUAACUACGUGCCAGCAGCCGCGGUAAUACGUAGGGUGCGAGCGUUAAUCGGAAUUACUGGGCGUAAAGCGUGCGCAGGCGGUUCGUUGUGUCGGUGGUGAAAGCCCCGGGCUUAACCUGGGAAUGGCCGUCGAAACUGGCGAACUGGAGUGUGGCAGAGGGGGGUGGAAUUCCGCGUGUAGCAGUGAAAUGCGUAGAGAUGCGGAGGAACACCGAUGGCGAAGGCAGCCCCCUGGGCUGACACUGACGCUCAGGCACGAAAGCGUGGGGAGCA
rnacentral:rRNA from 1 species